GGGCGAGUAGCUCAGUUGGCUAGAGCAUCCGCCUUACAAGCGGAGGGUCCGGGGUUCGAGUCCCCGCUUGCCCA
rnacentral:tRNA from 1 species